rnacentral:tRNA from 1 species
GGUCGGUUAGCUCAGUUGGUCAGAGCGCUGCAUUCACAUUGCAGAGGCCACAAGUUCGAGUCUUGUACCGACCA